rnacentral:lncRNA from 1 species
GUGUUAUACAGGAAUAAGGGAAUAGUUGCUGGAUUUUUUUAAAAAAUAAAAUGACUUCAAUCGGUAGGUAUUUAUGGAAAAACACUAGAAUCUUUAUAAAUAUCUUUAUGCUUAAAUAUAUUUUAAUUGGCUGCACUAAUAAAAGAGAAGGACUUCAACAGAAGCCUUGGGAUUAAUAAUUACUUUGCUAAAAAUGAUGAAUUCUUGGCUGGUGUGUUUGCAGGGAUCGGGCUGUGAGUCCCUGAAUGGCUGGAACCCUGGCAGAGAGGAGCCCGGAGUGUCGAAAGAGGGGCAACACAGACCAGAUGCAUCCUACAGAGACGGGAGGACUCCGAGCUUGGGGAAGAGACAGUUAAAGCUUCCCCGUGAGAGCGAGUUAUAUCAUGCAGCGCCAGUGCCAGGUCAGCAGUCUGGCUGGAGCUGGACCGGCUGGUGGCGCCAGGCAGUGCCAAGCACCCCUGGCAGCCCUGCAGAGGGUUCUCAAAUCCAGAUUUCAUUCUGCAGUCCCGGCAGUGCUUUGACGACUGCCUCACUAAAGGAAGCUAAAAGCUGUGCCGAUGCCUCCCAGACGAGCCUCGUUGGAAGCACAGAACCUUCACGACUCGGAGCCGCUGACACGGUGACAAAGGGAGCCCUGCUCAGGAGAAAGAGUAAAUGA